GACAGUUAUUUAGUGCAAAGAUUAAAUAACAAAUAAAAAACAAUUUUAUCCAACAUAAAUGAACUUUUUAAAUUUUUCAAAAAAAAAUUUAUGAUUAAAACAAAAAGUAAAUAAGCUUAGAAUCAGCUAUAUUUUAAAAAGUACGUAAAAUUUUACUUUAAAAAAAUUAUAAUUUAAUAAUAAAGUCAAUUAUUAUCAUUUUUGUGGAAAAUAGUAAUGAAAUUUUCUUUUAUCUAUAACGAAAGUUUUAAAGAAGUAAUAAUAUAAGCAUUAGUAAAAUUAAAUUUAUCCUUUUGUUUUCUUAAUUUAAUAAAUGAUUAAGGUUAUUCAAUUUCUCAAUUAACAAGGAAUUUUUUAAAAAAAUAUACAAGAAAAUUUUAAAAAAAAAAUUGUAAGAUCUAAAUCAAGUUAGGAUAAAUAAUAAAAUAAAUUUUUUUUAAGGAACUCGGCAAAAUAAAAUAUCGACUGUUUAUCAAAAACAUAGCUUUUUAAAAUAUAAAAAGUGAAGCCUGCCCAAUGGUAUAAAAAUAAUUAUAAUAUAAUUUAAAUAAUAUUAAAUGGAUGCGGUAACUCUGACUGUAAUAAAGUAGCAUAAUUAAUUGUCACUUAAUUGGUGGAGAGAAUGAAUGGUUAUACGAAUUUUUCACUGUCUUGAAAGAAAUUUUUUAAAAUUGAAAUAAUAGUAAAGAUGCUAUUUAAAAUUGUAAGACGAAGAGACCCUAUAGAGCUUUACUAUAAACUUUUUGAAUUAAAAAUAAUAUAAACUUAUUUAUUUAAAAAAGUUUGGUAGUUUAGUUGGGGCGACUGUUUUUUAAAUAAAACAAAAACAUGCAAAGUAAUAAAUUUAUUUAUUGUAUAAUUAAAAUAUUUAACAAUUAUUAUAGUAGGCUAUAGUGACCC
rnacentral:rRNA from 1 species